CAUUGAGGUGAUGAUAUCUUUUUCGGAAAUUUCCUUAUGUCGACUCGAAGAAAUCAGACUACAAUUAUCUGAUCAAUG